UGUAACAUUGAGGCUGGAGGACAAUCACAUGAUGAGGAAAGCACAUGGCCCGCAUGCUGACACGAUGCUGUCACCAAUCAAUCUUGUGGCUCUAAAGGAGCUCUCAGUAAACAAGGGGAUAAGCAUGGGGAGGCACUCAAGAUACAUGUGUUUGGUAAACACUGCACAAACUAGGGCAGUGCAAUCAAUCAAAAUUUUUAUCGCGAUUACAAUUUUGGCUCCUAUUGAUCACAAAAACAGAAUAAUCGAUAAAAACGAUUGUUUUGCACGUUACGUUUUGCAAGCAGGGUUCACAAAUAAGAGUUGCCCGAUGGCCC